rnacentral:tRNA from 1 species
GGGAAGGUGCCAGAGUGGUUGAAUGGGACGGUCUCGAAAACCGUUGUGGGACUUGUUUCCACCGAGGGUUCGAAUCCCUCCCUUCCCG